rnacentral:rRNA from 1 species
UACGUAGGGUGCGAGCGUUAAUCGGAAUUACUGGGCGUAAAGCGUGCGUAGGCGGUUUUGUAAGUUUGGUGUGAAAUCUCCCGGCUCAACUGGGAGGGUGCGCCGAAAACUGCAAGGCUGGAGUGUGGGAGAGGUAGGCGGAAUUCCUGGUGUAGCGGUGAAAUGCGUAGAUAUCAAGAGGAACACCUGAGGUGAAGACGGGUUGCUGGGCUGACACUGACGCUGAGGCGCGAAAGCUAGGGUAGCAAACGGG